CAUGUGCUACAACAGUGUAUUGGAUACAUCUCUAGGCAGUGAAGGUGUGGAGGAUUUGGUGGGCUCUUGGUGGGAUCAUUUGUAUUACAGUGCCAGACCUGCCUGAUUCAGUGGGCUACAUUUCCAUGAUAUAAAUGGUUUGCUUAGCCUGUCUGUGUGUGCCCUGUGGUCUCUUAAUUUGGGAACUAAUGCAAAAUGAUUUCUCUCUAUUGCAGAUUGCCCGUCGUGAUGGUAGAGUGAUCCUGACUUGUGGAUUGCCCUAUGAGACACUUCGCUCACAAGUUGGAGAGGGAAAGUGUUUCUUGGUCGAUUGCUCAGAGAAAGACAAAUAGCAAGCCAUCAAGGUGCUGAACCAUUUCAAUAUCUGGGUUGCACUGACUGAUGUGUUCAGCCGAUGCCAGGUGUGCAACUGCGACAGAUACCUGCACAUCUCCCAGGACAAAAUGUCUCGACUGCUGCAACUUCACAGUUACUUGAGGGACACAAACCAAGUGCCAGAUGAGCCCCCCACAUUCCAAAUCAGAAGAUCAGACAAGGUGUCCCAGUAGUGAAGAGCAACAGUGGCUGGAAGAGUUUGGGAUUUGCCAGGGCUCUCUUACCCUUCCCAGUGGCGCAGCCCUGCAACUGGACUCCAUACCCCCAGGCCUUCUGCACAAGUUGGUGCUCCUCUUCUGCUGCAGCCAGUGUGGCAAGGUAUUCUGGGAAGGCUCCCAUUUUGGCAGAGUAGUGUCCCAAUUCAGAGAGGUCCUGCAGGACACUGGGGAAAAUCUCGACUGGCUGGCGGACCCGAAUCCCUAAAUGGAUGGACAAUAAAGACGGGUGCCCAAUUACUCUGUGCUAUUGUGUCUGUCCCAGACCACCAUUCCUUAGCAGAGCAGUGAGUGUUCAUGAGUCACGUUGCUAGUUGCCAUGUAGCUGCCAUUGUUCCUUCCUGUUGUUUUUUUCCUUUUAAUGAACAUUUAUGGACAAUACUGUAUUUUAUGUUUUCAAUAUGGUUCCCCCAUCUUUUAUUCACUGUAUUUUAUUGCUAUAAAGUGCCCAAAAGUGCCGGAGAGGGAAGUGACAUACUCUUCUGAAAAGAUGGCCUUUGUAUAUGAAGUUAUACUUCGACAUUCAUGAACUUCCUCCUGAAUCUUUUAUUUCUGGAUUAAAUGACGUUUUGUUCCUG